rnacentral:rRNA from 1 species
AACGCGAAGAACCUUACCCGGGCUUGAACUACGGAUGGUAAGUCCCUAGAAACAGGGGCUGACCCGCAAGGGAGUCCGCAGAGGUGCUGCAUGGUUGUCGUCAGCUCGUGUCGUGAGAUGUUGGGUUAAGUCCCGCAACGAGCGCAACCCCUACUCGAUGUUGCUAAUCCCGCAAGGGAUGCACUCUUCGAGAACUGCCUUCGAUAAGAAGGAGGAAGGUGGGGACGACGUCAAAUCCUCAUGGCCCUUAUGUCCGGGGCUACACACGUGUUACAAUGGCCGGUACAAUGGGAAGCAAUGCCGCAAGGUGGAGCCAAACCCACAAAGCCGGCCCCAGUUCAGAUUGUGGGCUGCAACUCGCCCACAUGAAGGCGGAAUCGCUAGUAAUCGCUGAUCAGCAGGCAGCGGUGAAUACGUUCCCGGGCCUUGUACACACCGAUAGC